AUUGAACGCUGGCGGCAGGCGUAACACAUGCAAGUCGAGCGAGCGGCGGACGGGUGAGUAAUGUCUGGGAAACUGCCUGAUGGAGGGGGAUAACUACUGGCAACGGUAGCUCAUACCGCAUACCAUCAGAUUUUCACAGAUGGGCUUAGCUAGUAGGUGGGGUAACGGCUCACCCAGGCGACGAUCCCUAGCUGUUCUGAGAGGAUGACCAGCCACACUGGAACUGAGACACGGUCCAGACUCCGACGGGAGGCAGCAGUGGGGAAUAGUGCACAAUGGGCGCAAGCCUGAUGCAGCCAUGCCGCGUGUGUGAAGAAGGCCGUCGGGUUGUAAAGCACUUUCAGCGAGGAGGCGUUACUCGCAGAAGAAGCACCGGCUAACUCCGUGCCAGCAGCCGCGGUAAUAC
rnacentral:rRNA from 1 species